CCCUUAGAUGCUCUGGGCCGCACGCGCGCUACACUGAUGCAUUCAACGAGUGUACCUUGGCCGAGAGGCCUGGGCAAUCUUUUGAACGUGCAUCGUGAUAGGGAUAGAUUAUUGCAAUUAUUAAUCUUGAACGAGGAAUUCCUAGUAAACGCAGAUCAUCAAUCUGCAUUGAUUACGUCCCUGCCCUUUGUACACACCGCCCGUCGCACCUACCGAUUGGAUGGUCCGGUGAAGCCUCGGGAUUGUGGCGGUUGCCUUUAUUGGUGGCCGCCGCGAGAACUUGUCUAAACCUUAUCAUCUAGAGGAAGGUGAAGUCGUAACA
rnacentral:rRNA from 1 species